CUGCCAGUAGUCAUAUGCUUAUUUCGAAGGUUCAGCCAUGCAUGUCUAAGUAUAAGUUAUUAUAUGACAAAACUGCGAAAAGCUCUUUAAAACAAUUAUAAUCUAUGGGGACGUAGUUGCUACACGGAUAUCUGUGGUAAUUCUGGAGCUAAUACGUGAUUUUACAUCCUUUUGGGUGUCACUUAUUAGAUAAGAACCGUCCUAUGCUUGCAUAGUUAAUUGGUGAUCCAUAAUAAGCUCGUGAAUCGCAUGGCAUCUGCCGGUGAUAUUCUACUUGAGUUUUUGACUUAUCAGUUAGACGGUAGGGUAUUGUCCUACCGUGGCAUUGACGAGUAACGGGGAAUUAGGGUUUGAUUCCGGAGAGGGAGCCUGAGAGACAGCUACCACUUCCACGGAAGGCAGCAGGCGCGCAAAUUGUCCAAUCCCAAUAUAUUGGGGAGACAGUGAAAAGAAAUAUCAAUGCAGAACCUCUAGGUUUUGCAAUUGGAAUGAGUUUAAUCCAAAUCCCUUUACAAGUAACAAUU
rnacentral:rRNA from 1 species